UCCCGAUAAAACCAAACCCUCCGUGAGAAGGGGGCGGAAAGCGGCGGAUCUUAUUAGUAGAAGAUGGCCGAGCUACCGAA
rfam:Nitrospirae bacterium RBG_13_43_8 RBG_13_scaffold_8752, whole genome shotgun sequence.